AGGUCGGUAAGUGGUGCUGGGUUUCUACAAAGAACAGUUUUUCCCACUGUCCCCCUUCUCCAGGCUUCCUACCUGCUCUCCUUACACCAGCCUUUGCUCAGGACCUCUCCCGAGUGCUUCCCCCCGGCUGCCAUUCCCCCCAAAGCCCUCAUUUCCUCCCGCCUCUGCCCUUUUCCAGGCAGAAGCAGCCUGCGUGUGAGCAGCCCUGCUGGACUUGGCCAUCAGAGGAGAUGGCUUGUUCAUCGCUUCAAGGGCAGCACAGGCAGCAGGCAGAGGGGAGCCCCCCGCAGAUGGACCCAGCCCCACCUCAGCCCCCCAGAGGACCCUGCUGAAGCCACCCCACCGCUGAGGCCUAGCGCUCCGCUGCCGUCCCGGCGUCCUGCCGCUCAUCUGGCAGUUGACAUCAAUUGCAGUGCCCACGGACAGCAAAAAACAUUCUCCAGGCAAGCCAACAGGAAGGAAGAGUAAUAAAAUCAAAGCAGGGCGUGCUGCUGUCUUCAACCUAAGUUCUAAGAAACUGAGUAGUAAGAGCCAAGGGUUUUUUAAAGAUUGUGCUAUUCCUUAUUUCUCAAUGAGGAAAGAGUAUGACUUGGCAAACUGUCCCUGCCUCUAACCCUGUGAAGUGCUUCAGCUUUUGUUAUUACUGCAAACCUCAUCCUUGAAAGAGACCUAAGCAAGUUUAGACAGCCCAUUAACUGCCCAUUAUUGGUGUGUGCAUUCCAUCAAGAUUAGCAUUGCAAAUGACUAGCAAGGGGCUAAACUCAUCUUGAACACAAUUUGCUGCAAAGUGUUGUUCCGGAUUCUGCAGUCCUGUGGAAGGCCAGGGGUAAAGGAGGGAGCUGCAGGCACAGACCAUGCAUAUCAGCAUCAAUCCCAGAAAUACAGUCAUGGGCUAGGAUGUUAUAAACUGAAUCCAGCAGACAUCAAGGGGUUCAAUCCCCCUUCUUAUGGCUAUCUGACAUGUCAGCAUGCAGAGUAAGAUUCAGCUCCAGAUCUGUGUCUAGAUGUCCACCUGUAGGCUUCUUCUGGCACCUAUCUUACCUCUGUAGGGCCAGCUUCUCCAGGGGGACUCUGUUCUGAAAAUGUCUGGAAGCCUGAAUCAGGACUCAGCAAAAAUGCAGAGACUCAAUGCCUAACUUUGCGAAGUUAGUUGCAUUAUCUCUGCAGGAUUACAUAUCUGACUUGCUUUAAUUAAAUGUCUGUAUCAUAUUUAAGAAAGCUCUCAAUUUCCAAUACACAUGGUGUGCUGUCCUGUUUAUGAUGCUCUAUUGCACUGACUUGGUGUGGUCUGUCAAGGUCAAUUUACAGGAAAAUUACUUACCAGACAAGGAUGAAUCCCUAAAUAUUUAUGACCAAAAUAGAAAGUUAUUAUUGUAGGAUCCUGUUUCAGUAAUGAGUCUCCUGGUCUGGGUUGAAUGUGACAUGUACAACAGGGUCAUGCACAAACAAGUUGCUUGAGUGAUGUAGC
rnacentral:lncRNA from 1 species